rnacentral:pre_miRNA from 14 species
ACAAGACAACUUGCAAUUUUUGUACUGCACAAAAGCUCUGACUGCUCUGAUAUGGCUCAGCACUUUUGUCUGUGCAAAAAUGGCGAAUAUCUGUCUUUCUU